GGAAUAUUGCACAAUGGGCGAAAGCCUGAUGCAGCGACGCCGCGUGAGGGAUGAAGGCCUUCGGGUUGUAAACCUCUUUCAGUAGGGAAGAAGCGAAAGUGACGGUACCUGCAGAAGAAGCGCCGGCUAACUACGUGCCAGCAGCCGCGGUAAUACGUAGGGCGCAAGCGUUGUCCGGAAUUAUUGGGCGUAAAGAGCUCGUAGGCGGUUUGUCGCGUCUGGUGUGAAAACUCAAGGCUCAACCUUGAGCUUGCAUCGGGUACGGGCAGACUAGAGUGUGGUAGGGGUGACUGGAAUUCCUGGUGUAGCGGUGGAAUGCGCAGAUAUCAGGAGGAACACCGAUGGCGAAGGCAGGUCACUGGGCCACUACUGACGCUGAGGAGCGAAAGCAUGGGGAGCGAACAGGAUUAGAUACCCCAG
rnacentral:rRNA from 1 species